GACGAACGCUGGCGGCGUGCUUAGCACAUGCAAGUCGAACGGAAAGGCCUCUUUCGGGGGGUACUCGAGUGGCGAACGGGUGAGUAACACGUGAGUAACCUGCCCUUGACUUUGAGAUAACUUCAGGAAACUGGGGCUAAUACCGGAUAGGAGCUCCUGCUGCAUGGUGGGGGUUGGAAAGUUUCGGCGGUUGGGGAUGGACUCGCGGCUUAUCAGCUUGUUGGUGGGGUAGUGGCUUACCAAGGCUUUGACGGGUAGCCGGCCUGAGAGGGUGACCGGCCACAUUGGGACUGAGAUACGGCCCAGACUCCUACGGGAGGCAACAGUGGGGAAUAUUGCACAAUGGGUGGAAGCCUGAUGCAGCAACGCCGUGUGCGGGAUGACGGCCUUCGGGUUGUAAACCGCUUUCGCUCAUGACGAAGCUUUGUGUGACGGUAGUGGGUAAAGAAGCACCGGCUAACUACGUG
rnacentral:rRNA from 1 species